UACGAAGGGGCUAGCGUUGUUCGGAAUACUGGGCGUAAAGCGCACGCAGGCGGAUUGAUAAGUCAGGGGUGAAAUCCCGGGGCUCAACCUCGGAAUUGCCUUUGAUACUGUCUGUCUUGAGUUCGGGAGAGGUUGGCGGAAUUCCUAGUGUAGAGGUGAAAUUCGUAGAUAUUAGGAAGAACACCAGUGGCGAAGGCGGCCAACUGGCCCGAUACUGACGCUCAUGUGCGAAAGCGUGGGGAGCAACAGG
rnacentral:rRNA from 1 species